CUGCGAACAGCUCAUUAAUACGCUCAGAAUCUACUUGGUGGCAACCUUUCAGGUUUUAUUUGGAUAGCAGCAGUAAUUCUGGUGCUAAUACACGCGAUUGUUUCACUAAGUUGAGAAAUAGUGGAAAAGUUAACCCUUUGGGUACACCAAUCGAUUGAGCGACCUAUCAUGCUUGUACUUAGGGUCUUUACCUAGGUAGGCUAUCACGGGUAACGGGCGGUUACCGUCGGACUGCCGGAGAAGGCGCCUGAGAGAUAGCGACUAUAUCCACGGGUAGCAGCAGGCGCGAAACUUACCCACUCGAGACUUUCGGAGGUGGUAAUGACCAGUUACAUGUCAACCUUACGGUUGUUUGUAUAGGAUCGCACUUUUCCAGUGCGGUGCAAUCUAGCAGAGGGCCAGUCUGGUGCCAGCAGCUGCGGUAAUUCCAGCUCUGCGAGUUUGCUCCCAUAUUGUUGCAGUUAAAACGCUCGUAGUCAGAAUUGCCCGCAAGGGCUUACGAACUUCUGUUCGUUCACUGUGAACAAAUCAGGACGCUUAGUGUAUGGAUACACGAAUGACUCAGCGCAGUAUGAUAUCUUUACUUUUAGUAAGAUCAAUGAGAGCCACCGGGGGUAGAUCUAUUUCAUGGCGAACGGUGGAAUGUUUUGACCCAUGAGAGAGAAACGAAGGCGAAAGCAUCUACCUAGAGGGUUUCUGUCGAUCAAGGGCGAGAGUAGGAGUAUCCAACCGGAUCAGAGACCCGGGUAGUUCCUACCUUAAACGAUGCCGACAGGGGCUUGUCCUUCUAUGAGGGCAGGACCUUAGGAGAAAUCAUAGUUCUUGGGCUCUGGGGGAACUACGACCGCAAGGCUGAAACUUGAAGGAAUUGACGGAAGGGCACACCAGGGGUGGAGCUUGUGGCUUAAUUUGAAUCAACACGGGGAAACUUACCAGGACCAGAUGUUCUUUAUGACUGACAGGCUUCAGGUCUUUCAGGAUAUGAUUUUUGGUGGUGCAUGGCCGUUGGUGGUGCGUGGGUUGACCUGUCAUGCGUUGAUUCAGAUAACGAGCGAGAUUAUCGCCAAUUAAAUACCGCUUCCUGUUUUCAGGAUGAGGGUUCUAAUUGGGACUCCCUGCGUUUCAAGCAGGAGGAAGAGGGUAGCAAUAACAGGUCCGUGAUGUCCUUUAGAUGCUCUGGGCUGCACGCGCGCUACAAUGUUAGGAUCAAAGAGUUGCCAACCCGAAAGGGUUUCAGCUACUCUCGCAAUACCUAACGUAGUUGGGAUUGAGGAUUGUAAUCAUUCUCAUGAACCAGGAAUCCCUUGUAAAUGUGUGUCAACAGCGCACGUUGAAUACGUCCCUGCCCUUUGUAC
rnacentral:rRNA from 1 species